rnacentral:snRNA from 1 species
GUGCUUGCUUUGACAGCACUUAUACUAAAAUUGGAAUGAUACAGAGAAGAUUACCAUGGCCCCUGCGUA